AACGCACAUUGCGCCCUCUGGUAUUCCGGGGGGCAUGCCCGUUCGAGCGUCAUUACAACCCUCAAGCUCUGCUUGGUGUUGGGCAGCACCGCCCGGUGCGCCCCAAAACCAGUGGCGGCGCCGUCUGGCUUCAAGCGUAGUAACACUUCUCGCUUCGGGACCAGGCGUGCUCCUGCCAGCAACCCCACACUUCAAAGGUUGACCUCGGAUCGGGUAGGGAUACCCGCUGAACUUAA
rnacentral:misc_RNA from 1 species